AAGAGAGAGAGCCAUCUACAUAUAAGAAAGAGGAGGAGAAGAAGAAAGGGGUCACAGUUCAGGGUCCCUAUUAGAGAAGAGCAAAGAAGUCUGAUUCUUCCUUCCUUUCUUCACUUUUAUCCCCUCAAUCCAUUUCUGAUUUCAUUUCAUUUCAUAAUAAGGGAUAUCAUCAAAUAAACAACAACAACAGACAGACAAAUACCCCUCUUCCCUGUCCCCAAAGAGAUUCAAAAUGGAGAGAGAAACUGAAGUUAUACAGUCCAGGUUCAAGAGAAUUUGUGUCUUCUGUGGGUAGUAGCCAGGGGAAGAAAAGCAGCUACCAAGAUGCUGCCGUUGAGCUAGGAAUGGAAUUGGUUUCAAGGAACAUUGAUCUGGUUUAUGGAGGUGGAAGCAUAGGUCUAAUGGGUUUAGUUCUCAGGCAGUUCAUAAUGGUGGUCGUCAUGUUAUGGAGUGAUUCCCAAGACUCUGAUGCCUAGAGAGGUUUUCAUCUUCUAAUCUGAUUAUGUAUAAUCUGUACACAUGAUUAAUGUUGUGCCUUAUCCAUAGCACUGAACUACUGCAGUAUAUUUUGAUGGCUGACAUCUCAUUCAUUAUUAUUCUUAUACAUAUAUGGGUUCAAAAUAUGGUCACAUCUUUUUUCUCUUUUGAUUUUUUAUUAAAUAAUCAAAAUCCCCAAAGAGACAGCUAUGGGCAGUCUCCUUCCUGUCCUUGGCCCUUGGUCCUUUUUCUUUUUCCUUGGCCUUUUUCUCAAGAUUUCAGAUCAUUGUUUUGCCUUUUACUGUUCUAUUCCGACUUUGGAAUAGGAUUGAAGUAUAAAUUGGCUCUUUCUCUCCACCUUGCUCAAGGAUUUGCAGAAUCUUGGCAGGCUCUCAUCAUUGCUUUCACUGUUACAAGAAACAAGUGCAUAUAGACUAUUAUUAAUCCAAAACAAAACAAAAAAGCUUCAGAGAUUUUACUGGGGUUUGGUGUAAAUUUUGGUGCAGUUAAUGGUGAGACAGUAGGGGAAGUGAAGGCAGUUGCAGAUUAUGCAUCAAGGAAAGCAGAGAUGGCUAGGCAUUCUGAUGCUUUCAUUGCUUUACCGGGUGGAUAUGGGACACUUGAAGAGCUACUGGAAGUGAUAACUUGGGCUCAGCUUGGCAUACAUGACAACCUGUA